UACGUAGGGGGCAAGCGUUGUCCGGAUUUAUUGGGCGUAAAGCGCGUGUAGGUGGCCAUGUAUGUCCGCUGUGAAAACUCGAGGCUCAACCUCGAGCUGUCGGUGGAAACCACAUGGCUAGAGUCCGGAAGAGGAGAGUGGAAUUCCUGGUGUAGCGGUGAAAUGCGCAGAUAUCAGGAAGAACACCAAUGGCGAAGGCAGCUCUCUGGGACGGUACUGACACUGAGACGCGAAAGCGUGGGGAGCGAACAGG
rnacentral:rRNA from 1 species